rnacentral:lncRNA from 1 species
CUCUCACUCUUUUCUUGUGUUUAGCUUCUUGUGGUGGAUCGUCUUCUUUGCUUGCUACUCACGAGUAUUUAUAGGAGAGGAAAGCCAUCAAUGUGCAAAUGAGAAUGCACACAAAUGUGGACACAGUCGGUGUCCACCAACCAAUUUUUUGACAAUCCAAAAAAAACGGUGCCUACCAUCCUCCUUUUUCAGCACCACCUUUUUGACUAACAAUCUCCCACUUGAAGAAUAUAGCUCACCAAGCUUGACUUGUGAAUAUAGUCUUCACACU